rnacentral:rRNA from 1 species
GACAGAGGGUGCAAACGUUGUUCGGAAUUACUGGGCGUAAAGCGAGUGUAGGCGGUUCGAUAAGUCGGAUGUGAAAGCCCCGGGCUCAACCCGGGAAGUGCACUCGAUACUGUCGAGCUAGAGUAUCGGAGAGGUUGGUGGAAUUCUCGGUGUAGAGGUGAAAUUCGUAGAUAUCGAGAGGAACACCGGUGGCGAAGGCGGCCAACUGGUCCGGAUCUGACGCUGAGGCGCGAAAGCGUGGGGAGCAAACAGG